rnacentral:miRNA from 1 species
UCUGUGCUCGUUCUUCUCUGUGUGGUGGAAUGUGUGUAACACACACACACACACACACACACAUACACAUUCCACCACACAGAGAAGAACGAGCACAGA